GGGCAGGUUCCAGAGUGGCUAAACGGGAUGGACUGUAAAUCCAUUGGCUCACGCCUUCGGGGGUUCGAAUCCCUCCCUGCCCA
rfam:Peregrinibacteria bacterium GW2011_GWF2_33_10 TR28_C0031, whole genome shotgun sequence.